rnacentral:tRNA from 2 species
CCUCUUGUCCCGUUCGUCUAGAGGCCUAGGACACCGCCCUUUCACGGCGGCAACACGGGUUCGAAUCCCGUACGGG